CCCUACGGGACGCAGCAGUGAGGAAUAGGGGUCAAUGGGCGAGAGCCUGAACCAGCCAAGUCGCGUGAGGGAAGACGGUCCUAUGGAUUGUAAACCUCUUCUGCCUUGGAGCAACCAGCGGUACGUCUACCGCAUCCAGAGUCCCCGGACAAAAAGCAUCGGCUAACUCCGUGUCCUCACCCGCGGUAAUACGGAGGAUGCGAGCGUUAUCGUCUCCUAUUGGGUUUAAAGGGUGCGCAGGCGGCGAGUUAAGUCAGCGGUAAAAUUUCGGGGCUCAACCCCGACGAGCCGUUGACCAUGGCUUG
rnacentral:rRNA from 1 species